rnacentral:rRNA from 1 species
UACGAAGGGGGCUAGCGUUGCUCGGAAUUACUGGGCGUAAAGGGCGCGUAGGCGGACAGUUUAGUCAGAGGUGAAAGCCCAGGGCUCAACCUUGGAAUUGCCUUUGAUACUGACUGUCUUGAGUUCGGGAGAGGUGAGUGGAAUGCCGAGUGUAGAGGUGAAAUUCGUAGAUAUUCGGCGGAACACCAGUGGCGAAGGCGACUCACUGGCCCGAUACUGACGCUGAGGCGCGAAAGCAUGGGGAGCAAACAGG